GAUGAACGCUGGCGGCGUGCCUAAUACAUGCAAGUCGAGCGAACAGACGAGGAGCUUGCUCCUCUGACGUUAGCGGCGGACGGGUGAGUAACACGUGGAUAACCUACCUAUAAGACUGGGAUAACUUCGGGAAACCGGAGCUAAUACCGGAUAACAUGUUGAACCGCAUGGUUCAACAGUGAAAGACAGUUUUGCUGUCACUUAUAGAUGGAUCCGCGCCGCAUUAGCUAGUUGGUAAGGUAACGGCUUACCAAGGCAACGAUGCGUAGCCGACCUGAGAGGGUGAUCGGCCACACUGGAACUGAGACACGGUCCAGACUCCUACGGGAGGCAGCAGUAGGGAAUCUUCCGCAAUGGGCGAAAGCCUGACGGAGCAACGCCGCGUGAGUGAAGAAGGUCUUCGGAUCGUAAAACUCUGUUAUUAGGGAAGAACAAAUGUGUAAGUAACUAUGCACGUCUUGACGGUACCUAAUCAGAAAGCCACGGCUAACUACGUG
rnacentral:rRNA from 1 species